AGCCUGUGGCUUAAUUUGACUCAACACAGGAAACCUCACCCGGCCCGGACACAGACAGGAUUGACAGAUUGAUAGCUCUUUCUCGCUUCUGUGGGUGGUGGUGCCCUUCCGUCAAUUCCUUUAAGUUUCACAUACUUU
rnacentral:ncRNA from 1 species